rnacentral:rRNA from 1 species
GACGAACCGUGCGAACGUUAUUCGGAAUUACUGGGCUUAAAGAGUUCGUAGGCGGCGCAGAAAGUAGGGUGUGAAAGCCCUCGGCUCAACCGAGGAAUUGCGCUCUAAACUACUGUGCUUGAGGGACCUAGAGGUGAGCGGAACUGAUGGUGGAGCGGUGAAAUGCGUUGAUAUCAUCAGGAACACCGGAGGCGAAGGCGGCUCACUGGGGGUCUUCUGACGCUGAGGAACGAAAGCCAGGGGAGCGAACGGG